rnacentral:rRNA from 1 species
GCAAUCCGCUUUGAGAUGGCCUCGCGUCCGAUUAGCUAGUUGGUGAGGUAACGGCCCACCAAGGCGACGAUCGGUAGCCGGACUGAGAGGUUGAACGGCCACAUUGGGACUGAGACACGGCCCAGACUCCUACGGGAGGCAGCAGUGGGGAAUAUUGCACAAUGGGGGAAACCCUGAUGCAGCGACGCCGCGUGGAGGAAGAAGGUCUUCGGAUUGUAAACUCCUGUUGUUGAGGAAGAUAAUGACGGUACUCAACAAGGAAGUGACGGCUAACUACGUGCCAGCAGCCGCGGUAAAACGUAGGUCACAAGCGUUGUCCGGAAUUACUGGGUGUAAAGGGAGCGCAGGCGGGAAGACAAGUUGGAAGUGAAAUCCAUGGGCUUAACCCAUGAACUGCUUUCAAAACUGUUUUUCUUGAGUAGUGCAGAGGUAGGCGGAAUUCCCGGUGUAGCGGUGGAAUGCGUAGAUAUCGGGAGGAACACCAGUGGCGAAGGCGGCCUACUGGGCACCAACUGACGCUGAGGCUCGAAAGUGUGGGUAGCAAACAGGAUUAGAUACCCUGGUAGUCCACACCGUAAACGAUGAUUACUAGGUGUUGGAGGAUUGACCCCUUCAGUGCCGCAGUUAACACAAUAAGUAAUCCACCUGGGGAGUACGACCGCAAGGUUGAAACUCAAAGGAAUUGACGGGGGCCCGCACAAGCAGUGGAGUAUGUGGUUUAAUUCGACGCAACGCGAAGAACCUUACCAAGUCUUGACAUCCUGUGACAGACGUAGAAAUACGUUCUUCCUUCGGGACACAGAGACAGGUGGUGCAUGGUUGUCGUCAGCUCGUGUCGUGAGAUGUUGGGUUAAGUCCCGCAACGAGCGCAACCCUUAUGGUCAGUUACUACGCAAGAGGACUCUGGCCAGACUGCCGUUGACAAAACGGAGGAAGGUGGGGAUGACGUCAAAUCAUCAUGCCCUUUAUGACUUGGGCUACACACGUACUACAAUGGCGUUAAACAAAGAGAAGCAAGACCGCGAGGUGGAGCAAAACUCAGAAACAACGUCCCAGUUCGGACCGCAGGCCGCAACUCGCCUGCACGAAGUCGGAAUUGCUAGUAAUCGUGGAUCAGCAUGCCACGGUGAAUACGUUCCCGGGCCUUGUACACACCGCCCGUCACACCAUGAGAGCCGGGGGGACCCGAAGUCGGUAGUCUAACCGCAAGGAGGACGCCGCCGAAGGUAAAACUGGUGAUUGGGGUGAAGUCGU